rnacentral:misc_RNA from 1 species
CAUUAGAUCCGAUAGAAACAGUUAUCUCACCACAUAUAAUGCCCUUUUUAGGUGUCGGCGUGAGCAGUAUGAGUGAAUAGCGGGAAAAAGC